GACGAACGCUGGCGGCGUGCUUAACACAUGCAAGUGGAGCGACGAACCGGGGCUUGCCCCGGGGCAAAGCCGCGAACGGGUGAGUAACACGUGGGUAACCCACCUCGAUGACCGGGACAACCCGAGGAAACUCGGGCUAAUACCGGAUGUGCUCUUCUGCCUCAAGGCAGUCGAGGAAAGAUAGCUUCGGCCUUCGCAUCGAGACGGGCCCGCGGCCCAUUAGCUUGUUGGUGGGGUAACGGCCUACCAAGGCUUCGAUGGGUAGCUGGUCUGAGAGGACGAUCAGCCACACUGGGACUGAGACACGGCCCAGACUCCUACGGGAGGCAGCAGUGGGGAAUCUUGCACAAUGCGCGAAAGCGUGAUGCAGCAACGCCGCGUGGGGGAAGAAGGCCUUCGGGUUGUAAACCCCUUUCAGUUGGGACGAAGCUUCGCCGGUUAAUAGCCGGCUGGAGUGACGGUACCUUCAGAAGAAGCCCCGGCUAACUACGUGCCAGCAGCCGCAGUAAGAC
rnacentral:rRNA from 1 species